rnacentral:rRNA from 1 species
UACGGAGGGUGCGAGCGUUGUCCGGAUUUAUUGGGUUUAAAGGGUGCGUAGGCGGCCGAGUAAGUCUGGGGUGAAAGCCCACUGCUCAACAGUGGAACUGCCCUGGAAACUGCACGGCUUGAGUACAGACGAGGUUGGCGGAAUGGGCACUGUAGCGGUGAAAUGCAUAGAUAGUGCCCAGAACCCCGAUUGCGAAGGCAGCUGACUAGGCUGUAACUGACGCUGAGGCACGAAAGCGUGGGGAGCGAACAGG